rnacentral:miRNA from 1 species
AAAAAUACAUAAGUAUAUCCCAUGCAAUAUUUGGGACAUACUUAUACUAAGA